UCGACCAGGAGAUGAACUGGGAUCGGCUACUUUGAGGACCUUUCUCGAGCAUCAACCAGUUGACUCAGAACUAGUAUGGACAUGGGAAAUUCAAUUGUUUAAUUAAAGCAAAGCAUUGCAAUGGUCCCCGCGGAUGCUCACGCAAUGUGAUUUUUGCCCAGUGCCCUGAAUGUUAAAGUGAAGAAAUUCAAUCAAGCGCGGGUAAACGACUGGAGUAACUAUGACUCUCUUUAGGUAGCCAAAUGCCUCGUCAUCUAAUUAGUGAUGCACAUGACUGGAUUAACAAGAUUCCCACUAUCCCUAUCUACUAUCUAGUGAAACCACAUCCAAGGGAACGAGCUUGG
rnacentral:rRNA from 1 species